AUUGAACGCUGGCGGCAUGCCUUAUACAUGCAAGUCGAACGGCCACGCGGACUUCGUUCUGGUCUCGCGUUGCCAACGGGUGAGUAAUAAAUCCGAACAUACCCUGUCUAUGGGGAUAACUUGUCGACAGAUUAGCUAAUACAACACACGACCAGAUAUUGAAAGUCAGGGUCCGCAAGUCCACGCGCGGUUUGCUCGGCCGAUGUCGGAUUAGCUAGUUGGUUGGGUUAGUUCCUACCAAGGCGACGAUCCGUAGCUAGUCUGAGAGGGCGAUCAGCCACACUGGAACUGAGACACGGUCCAGACUCCUACGGGAGGCAGCAGUGGGGAAUGUUCGACAAUGGGGGCAACCCUGACGAAGCAAUGCCGCGUGUGUGAUGAAGGUCUUCGGAUUGUAAAGCACUUUUAUUCGGAAAGAAAUAAUGCGUGUUAAUAAAUGCAGUGCUUGACGGUACCGGAAGAGUAAGCACCGGCUAACUACGUG
rnacentral:rRNA from 1 species